rnacentral:lncRNA from 1 species
AUCAAAAUAUAUUUUAUUCUGGACCUCUUUCAGAUCUGAUUCAAAUUACAGUUGUCAAAGCAAUACAAUGCAAAGGGAAACUGCAACAGAAAAUGUGCCUAGAAAGGAUAUAAGGGCCUUGGGGACAAAUCAUUGAUGAAGAACCAAAAUACAUCAUAAAGUGUAAUUAACAUGGUCCAGGACAGUAUAGAACAUCUAUAUCAGUCUUCUUUAGACAAUAAUCAUGAAAACUGAACAAUAAAAGUCCUUUAAACAAGUACAAAAAAACUGUCAUGGGCUGGUUUACACUUUUACAACAGUUGUAAUUUAACUGGAUAACUGAAGAAAUGAUGCAGACAUUUUAAUCCAGUGCUAUAGGUAGGCUCACAGAAUUAGACCCAAAGGAUUUAAAUGGGAUUCUGAGAUGGAUGCAUAGAAAGACAGGGAACUCGAAUGCAGUUCAUUUCUUAUUCCACCAUUAAUUCUGAGCCCAGUUUUCCCCCUUCCUUUUAUCCUCCAUUUAGAUGUUUGCCCAUUAAUGACUUAAACUGGAAAGAACAGGAACUAUAACGUAUGCAAAGGCUUAUGCAUACGUUUGCCUUUAUAUUUGGGAAACAGGCAAGACAGAAUUAAUCGGUAUGUAAGACUAAGCAUGUGCAUACGUUUAUACAAAGUCAGGGUCUUACCGACAUUUGGCAUACCCAAUUUAAAGGAACAAUUUGGACAGUUUACCUCACUACUGAAGACGUCGUCGUUGUGCUAUAAAAGAUAAUAAUUAAUGUUAUGGUUUGCUUUUUUUUCCUUUUUGCUUCACAUAAUCACAGAACCUAGCACACCUUGCAUGCAUGCAUUUAGCAGUGUAUAAAACAAGAGGCGAGAAGAGGUGUGAGCAGGAGCAGCACUGUGGCAUGCUAGUAAAGGACAACAAUAAAAUACCUAUUGGCCAGAUCCUCUGCUAGUGGAAACUGGCAUCAUUCCACUACAGUGGGGCACUGUGGAUUAACACCAGGUUGGGAGUCUCCACCUGCACGUCCAGAGAACUCAAGUCAACAGAUCUGACGUUCCUGCUGGACUGUGUUUCAAACACCUGAAAACCCUGGACCUGUGAGACUGAAGCUCUGUUUUACCUAUUUCUGAAUAUGUGAUACUAUGCUUAAGCAACUAGAAUUACAACCAAAACAGCUGAUGAUUGAGAAAGAGGAAAAAUGGCAAUACCCUAAAACAUGGCUGUGUGAUUUUGCAGCUAUGCCACAGAAUUCCACCACAAUUGUUUAGAUUGGCUGAAAGAAUCAUCCAGUAACUUGUAUGAAAAUGAAUAAACUGUCCAUAUUAAAAUACAAAAGUACUAUCAAGAAUCACUUCUGACUUUCAAAUUUAAAUUCAGUGCAAUUGACAAAUGCAUUGCUAAAUGAAAAAUGCAGCUUAAACAUACUCAAAACAUUUGUGUCUAUUCCUGGGAGCACAGUUUAAAAUUAUUGCACAGAUUUUUUUUUUUAUUUUUAUUUUUUUUUCAUUAAAUGACAGAGGUCAGCCACAGUCAUGGACCU